GUAACGGCGAGUGAAGCGGCAACAGCUCAAAUUUGAAAUCUGGCUCCUUCGGGGCCCGAGUUGUAAUUUGCAGAGGAUGCGUCGGGUACGGGUGCCUUCCGAGUUCCCUGGAACGGGACGCCAUAGAGGGUGAGAGCCCCGUCUGGUAGGACACCCAGCCCGUGUGACGCUCCCUCGACGAGUCGAGUAGUUUGGGAAUGCUGCUCUAACGGGAGGUAUACUCCUUCCAAGGCUAAAUACCGGCUGGAGACCGAUAGGCGCACAAGUAGAGUGAUCGAAAGAUGAAAAGCACUUUGAAAAGAGAGUCAAACAGCACGUGAAAUUGUUAAAAGGGAAGCGCUCGCUACCAGACUUGGGUUCGGCGGUUCAACCGGGGCCACGCCCCGGGGCAUUCCGCCGGCCCAGGCCAGCAUCAGCUUUCCGUCGGGGGUAAAGGCGUCGGGAAUGUGGCUCCCCUUCGGGGGAGUGUUAUAGCCCGUCGUGUCAUACCCUUCGGGGGGCUGAGGUACGCGCUUCUGCAAGGAUGCUGGCGUAAUGGUAGCUAGUGACCCGUCUUGAAACACGGACCAAGGAGUCAACCUUAUGUGCGAGUGCCCGGGCGUAAAACCCCAGCGCGGAAUGAAAGUGAACGUAGGUGAGAGCUUCGGCGCAUCACCGACCGAUCCUGAUGUCCUCGGACGGAUUUGAGUGAGAGCAUAUAGGGUUGGACCCGAAAGAAGAUGAACUAUGCGUGUGUAGGGUGAAGCCAGAGGAAACUCUGGUGGAGGCUCGCAGCGGUUCUGACGUGCAAAUCGAUCGUCAAACAUGCGCAUGGGGGCGAAAGACUAAUCGAAUCUUCUGGUAGCUGGUUUCCGCCGAAGUUUCCCUCAGGAUAGCAGUGUUGAUCCCAGUUUUAUGAGGUAAAGCGAAUGAUUAGGGACUCGGGGGCGCUAUAUUGCCUUCAUCCAUUCUCAAACUUUAAAUAUGUAAGAAGUCCCCGUUUCUUAACUGAACGCGGACGCUGGAAUGUCACAACACUAGUGGGCCAUUUUUGGUAAGCAGAACUGGCGAUGCGGGAUGAACCGAACGCGAGGUUAAGGUGCCGGAGUGGACGCUCAUCAGACACCACAAAAGGUGUUAGUACAUCUUGACAGCAGGACGGUGGCCAUGGAAGUCGGAAUCCGCUAAGGACUGUGUAACAACUCACCUGCCGAAUGUACUAGCCCUGAAAAUGGAUGGCGCUCAAGCGUCCCACCCAUACCUCGCCCUCGGCGCUGGCUCGGCGCGCCGAGGAGUAGGCGGACGUGGAGGU
rnacentral:rRNA from 1 species